rnacentral:rRNA from 1 species
AUUGAACGCUGGCGGCAGGCCUAACACAUGCAAGUCGAACGGUAACAGGAAGCAGCUUGCUGCUUCGCUGACGAGUGGCGGAUGGGUGAGUAAUGUCUGGGAAACUGCCUGAUGGAGGGGGAUAACUACUGGAAACGGUAGCUAAUACCGCAUAACGUCGCAAGACCAAAGAGGGGGACCUUAGGGCCUCUUGCCAUCGGAUGUGCCCAGAUGGGAUUAGCUAGUAGGUGGGGUAACGGCUCACCUAGGCGACGAUCCCUAGCUGGUCUGAGAGGAUGACCAGCCACACUGGAACUGAGACACGGUCCAGACUCCUACGGGAGGCAGCAGUGGGGAAUAUUGCACAAUGGGCGCAAGCCUGAUGCAGCCAUGCCGCGUGUAUGAAGAAGGCCUUCGGGUUGUAAAGUACUUUCAGCGGGGAGGAAGGGAGUAAAGUUAAUACCUUUGCUCAUUGACGUUACCCGCAGAAGAAGCACCGGCUAACUCCGUG